GGGCAAUUGGUCUAGGGGGGUAUGAUUUUCGCUUCGCAUGUGAAAGGUCACCGGUUCGAAUCCGGUAUUGUCCA
rnacentral:tRNA from 1 species